AUUGAUAUACAACACUCACAUUCACACCUUUAUAUAAUAGCAUAAUAACUACACUACAUUUAAUGAUGAAGACAAACAUCCUACACAUUUGUUAUCCAAAUGACCAAAUGUCAACAAUAAGAAAACACAAACAUUAAAUGAGCCAAUAGUCAUGAAGUCUUUGCUCCUUCUGACAAUGACAAAACUUCUCGCUCAUCUUUUCCUUAUGAAAGCAUCUAAAGGUAAAGAGGCUAUCCAAAGAUAACCCACCAUAAAUCAUGCCAAUCUCCUUCUGUUUUCGUUCUUCUUCUCAUGCCUACCAUACAUCAAGACAACCAAAAAGAAUUAGUGUGCUUAAAUCCAAUAAUCAAUUUUAUAUUAUCUAAACAAAGUCCCACCAUCACAAGUGUUUCCUUUGCUACAAUCAGAAGAUGUAAGCAACCGUGCUGAUUCCUAUUCCAUAUGUCAUUUCCUGAAAUCAAAAGGAAGAAAAAGCUUUAAGCUUUGAUUCCCAUUCUCGUUCCAUUUCCUCCGCUCCUCUCAUUUCGCCCAGAGCAUUAUUCCCUUCACUAUCAAGCCUAUAUUUUUUUGCUCCUGACUUCUUUCUACCUAUAAGUUACCUCUUCAAAAGUUAAAAAAAAUGCGAAAUAUCAUUUCACUUUUGAAAGAUUAUGAAAAAAUUUACAUAGAAUUCUACGUGUCAAUAUCUGAAUAUUUUAAGUAUUUUGCUUAAAUGAAAAUUAAAAUGUGAGUUUUGUAAAUUUUUAAAAAAUUAAUUAAAAAAAGUAGUUACUCCAUAUGGGCAAAGAAAAAUUUUUCCUCCGCUGAUUUAAAGCUGCCGUAAGGAAUAAUUUU
rnacentral:lncRNA from 1 species